rnacentral:rRNA from 1 species
UCCUACGGGGGGCAGCAGUGGGGAAUUUUGGACAAUGGGCGAAAGCCUGAUCCAGCUAUGCCGCGUGAGUGAAGAAGGCCUUCGGGUUGUAAAGCUCUUUCGGUUGGGAAGAAGUUUAUCUGUUUAAGAGAUGGAUAGAUUGACGGUACCGACAGAAGAAGCACCGGCUAACUACGUGCCAGCAGCCGCGGUAAUACGUAGGGUGCGAGCGUUAAUCGGAAUUACUGGGCGUAAAGGGUGCGCAGGCGGCUACAUAAGUCAGAUGUGAAAUCCCCGGGCUUAACCUGGGAACUGCGUUUGAAACU